rnacentral:rRNA from 1 species
CAUGCAAGUCGAACGGAAACGAAAAUAGCUUGCUAUUUGGCGUCGAGUGGCGAACGGGUGAGUAACGCGUAGGAAUCUACCCAGUAGAGGGGGAUAGCCCGAAGAAAUUCGGAUUAAUACCGCAUAAUCUCUACGGAGCAAAGAAGGCCUCUUUACAAUGCUUUUACUAUUGGAUGAGCCUGCGUUAGAUUAGUUAGUUGGUAGGGUAAAAGCCUACCAAGGCGACGAUCUAUAGCUGGUUUUACGAGAAUGAUCAGCCACACUGGAACUGAGACACGGUCCAGACUCCUACGGGAGGCAGCAGUGAAGAAUAUUGGACAAUGGGGGAAACCCUGAUCCAGCAAUGUUGCGUGUGUGAAGAAGGUCCGAGGAUUGUAAAGCACUUUCAGUAAGCAAGAAAAAUGUAAAUCUAAUAGAUUUGCAUGUUGACCACUUAUAGAAGAAGCACCGGCUAACUCCGUGCCAGCAGCCGCGGUAAUACGGAGGGUGCGAGCGUUAAUCG